rnacentral:rRNA from 1 species
AUUGAACGCUGGCGGCAGGCCUAACACAUGCAAGUCGAGCGGAUGAAGGGAGCUUGCUCCUGGAUUCAGCGGCGGACGGGUGAGUAAUGCCUAGGAAUCUGCCUGGUAGUGGGGGAUAACGUCCGGAAACGGGCGCUAAUACCGCAUACGUCCUGAGGGAGAAAGGGGGGGAUCUUCGGACCUCACGCUAUCAGAUGAGCCUAGGUCGGAUUAGCUAGUUGGUGGGGUAAAGGCCUACCAAGGCGACGAUCCGUAACUGGUCUGAGAGGAUGAUCAGUCACACUGGAACUGAGACACGGUCCAGACUCCUACGGGAGGCAGCAGUGGGGAAUAUUGGACGAUGGGCGAAAGCCUGAUCCAGCCAUGCCGCGUGUGUGAAGAAGGUCUUCGGAUUGUAAAGCACUUUAAGUUGGGAGGAAGGGCAGUAAGUUAAUACCUUGCUGUUUUGACGUUACCAACAGAAUAAGCACCGGCUAACUUCGUG